UACGGGGGGGGCAAGCGUUGUCCGGAUUUACUGGGCGUAAAGAGCGCGCAGGCGGUCAGAUAAGUCGAAUGUGAAAGCCCCCGGCUCAACUGGGGAGGGUCAUUCGAUACUGUUCGACUCGAAGGCAGGAGAGGGAAGUGGAAUUCCCGGUGUAGUGGUGAAAUGCGUAGAUAUCGGGAGGAACACCAGUGGCGAAGGCGACUUCCUGGCCUGUUCUUGACGCUGAGGCGCGAAAGCUAGGGGAGCAAACGGG
rnacentral:rRNA from 1 species